ACUAAACAGCGAACCGGAUGUCCAUAAUGAAGGAUCUCCAAUGAUAUGCCUUAAACGUGUCCGCGUUGGUGAUAAAGACUAAAAGAUGCUGUUCUGUAGUAUUGGCAGAGAUCAUCCUCUCUAAUUCUCCCUAAAAGAAGCCACUUCAUUGGAUUCAUUAAUUGAAGGAAACAUCUAAGUAUAAAGUGCGUGGAUGUACUCAUGAUUGACAAAAUUGAAUGUAAAGGUGAAGAUUUGUCAAGGAUUAAUAAGUCCCAUAAGAAAUAUUCAAGAACGAGGUACUGAAACUUUGUGGCCUUUCACCUCAUGAAAGAGUUAAGAAAGCACUCGACCUUUGUAAAGACGAGCCUAUUUCUGCAACGAAGAUUUUAACUCCAUUAAACAGGCUUCUGGACCCUGCAUUUGUUCCAAAUGUUGGCAAAAUAUUUUUUUGACUGUAUAUAAAAGUUUAGUUCUGCACUGUCUAUUAAAUGAUCUUAAAAUUGUAACAAAAAAUAAAUAUAAAAUCUAAAUUUUA
rnacentral:lncRNA from 1 species